rnacentral:rRNA from 1 species
AACGAACGCUGGCGGCAGGCCUAACACAUGCAAGUCGAACGCGCGUAGCAAUACGCGAGUGGCGCACGGGUGAGUAACACGUGGGAAUCUACCCAGAGGUUCGGAAUAACCGCGGGAAACUGCGGCUAAUACCGGAUGUCCCCUACGGGGAAGAUUAUCGCCUUUGGACGAGCCGCGUCCGAUUAGCUAGUUGGUGAGGUAAUGGCUCACCAAGGCUACGAUCGGUAGCUGGUCUGAGAGGACGACCAGCCACACUGGAACUGAGACACGGUCCAGACUCCUACGGAGGCAGCAGUGGGGAAUUUGCGCAAUGGGCGAAAGCCUGACGCAGCAACGCCGCGUGAGUGAAGAAGGCCUUCGGUCGUAAGAC